rnacentral:tRNA from 1 species
GGAAGCUAGUCUUGGCCGGUGCUGGGCCUGGUCUUCAAAACCAGCGUGCGGCGCGUUUCGUGUCGUGGGUGGGUUCGACUCCCACUAGCUUCCGCCA